CACAAUAAGUUUUUUCUUUGAAGCACAAUUCAUUAGAUAUUUACGCACCGCUCGGCCCUUAGAGGUCUUUGUUGGCCACCGAGAUGCGAGAUGAGUGUGAUGUGAGUGUGCAAAUACGUUUGUAUAAACGAAGAGUGGCUGCAUUUUUAUGGGCCUGUGUAGCACACGUGUGUACCAGUGAGUGAUAGCGCGCACUUGGGUGCAUGUGGACGCUUGUGCUUGAGAAGGAUUGUUGCGCAUAAGCGUUGAGUACACGUGUGCACGUGUAAAGUGUGUGCAUGUGUUACAUGUAAACACGUGUCUCAUGUGAGUGUGCGUGUGCAGAAGUCCGUACGUGUUUAAGAGCAACGUACACUUGUGUGUGAGCCUGAGCUCACACGUGGUUCGUUUGUCCAUGUGUGCAUGUGAAACUCAGCGAAGAAGUCCCUGAAACCUCCGGUCUCGUGGAAGGAAAGGCGCAGGCAGGAAUCGAGGACUGAGCACCCCAUGGCAAGAGUCGAAACUGCCGCUCCUUCGGCCCGCAGGCAGCCGGAAGCCGCCUACCGGGCUCGGGACUGGCCCGGAGGUCGUGGGUCAGCCCCCAGCUCGGCUCCGGCCCAGCCAGGCGGAUUCCCACUGGGGCCCACCAAUUACCAGGACUGCACUCGAAAUAAUCCCUGCUGGGCAGUUCGGGAGCUCUUAAUUGUUCCUCGCGGACAGUUUCUAAUUAUCGAUACCGUGUGUCCUAAAGGAGACCGCUUCCGGGUUAUUUGCUUAUGUUUUUAUUAUCUUUAUCACCGUCAUUAUUUGGUGGCUGUAUGAAGAUAGUGCCAAGCCCACCUAGACCGCCCUGCCCCGCCUCUCCGGCGCCGCCCUGGGCGUGCGGGUUACCCGCAGACACCGGAAUCUUCCCUUACGUGGAGCCACAGCGCCACCUCGCGAUCCCCCAGCCUCCCUCCGGUCACUGCCACCCAAAUUUCCAGUACUGGUGGGUUUUCCAUUCGCUUUCGCCGUUCCUCUUUCCCUAUCUAGAACGGUCCACAUGGCUGUGGACCCAACAUGCCUUGAGAUCCUAACAUGCCUUGCUAAGCAGCUUUGUACACGACCGGAAUGCCUAUACCCGGUCUCCACCUGGAGAAAUUCUCUCUUUAAAAUCACUAACACAGAGUUCACCUCUUUCAUAAAACCUUUCCAGAUCCCUUCUAGGAAGUCAUUCGUGCCUUUCCCUGAUUUCCCUGGUGCUUGUAUCACAUUGGACAGAAAAUAUUGUUUAAAAAUCUCUUUCCCCUCCAUAAUCAAGGAGCUCACCUACAGUCACUAUUUUGCUUAUAGCAACAAUAGUAACAGUAAAACCUGGUAUUAACUGAACGCACUCUAUGGAGCAUCUUAUGCAAUGUGCUAUGCUAAGCAUUUUAUUCAUUACCGCGUUUAAUUUUCCCAGCAAAACCGUGAAGUAAGCACCAAUAUAAUUUCCCAGUUUUCAGAUGAGGCCAGAGAGUUCCUGUCUAAGGUUGUAUUGCAGAACCCAACCCAAGUCUGUCUGUCUGAUUUUUCUUAACCUCUUUUCUUAACAUCUGUGCCUUGCAGACUUAUUCAGCUCUAUAUCCACAGGCUUUAAGAUAGGACCAGGCACAGAGUGGACAUUCAUAUAUUUAUGAAUAAAUGAACCACUGCCAAUACAAAUCUUUUCUUCUCCAAGAGAGUUGGGCUAGAAAAACACUGCAGUUACCAGAUACCUUGAUUGAAGUGUUACCACAAUGAUUUAUCCCAAAAGAGUAUUCCACUACUAACUAGCUAAGUGACCUUGGUCAAGUCACUUCAUCCUCAAUUCCUCAUUUUUAAAAGUAGGUUUUCUGUGAGUAUUAAAUGAGGGAAAAAAUGUGAGGUACUUGAUAUAGCCCCUUGUACUGUAAUCAACACUCAGCGAAAGUGUGCUAUUAAUAUAAUUAUUAAUGAGAGUUUUAAAAACUAAAGCACAGAACACCAAAUUGACUUACCCCUAGCCACAUAGAAUUCACCAUACCUCUAUAUAAAAUUAUCUCACUAUUAUAUCUUCAUUUUCAUCCUGGACAUAAAAUAUGUAAUAAAAUAUGUUUAGUUUAUUGUGGUUGGGGUGUUAAUGUUAACCCUGCUCUGUUAUAAAAUUUUAAGGGGCAGGGGGGAAAGAUAUAAUUAAACAGUAAAUCAGCAGGCUUUGACUCUCACCCUUUCCUCUUGCUUUGUAGCUUUUUACCAAGAAAGAUUUAAAGAAAGACUAUAAAAGUGCUUAUUAUUCUGGAAAGUACAAAACUCUAUUUUUUAAUUUAGGGGACAUUCUGAGCUAGUUUGAGUUUUUCCCACUUGAAACACUUUGUUGCUAGUGAUACACUAAAAGUUUAAAAAUAUGUAUCUAAGCAAAUGAUUGUCCCCAAAUAAAAAAGAAAUGAUGGUUGUCUAAACAUAUCCCAGACUUUCAGACAUUUCCCAAAAAGGCUAAGUUUUAGAGGUUCAGGGUCUCUUUUCAGAGUGACUCAUUAGAUAAUUACUACUUAUUAGCAUCUAAGCGAAAAUGAACUUUUCUGUCUGAUCAGGCUAUAACUUUCCUACUAUCAAAUUCUUUUGGAAGACUAUUGACCAAUACAGUUAUGUCAUAAAGACACAAAAAGAGCCUGAUAAAAUCCACAAAAGGCACAAGUGUGUCUCCCCAUUUAGCUGGCCCACAGCGCAUUUCCAGAAACUUUAUCCCAACCCCAAUUUAUUUUAGUUCAUUUGUACCUGCUUCUCUUUCUAUGCAAUACUCUUGUAUGAAGAUGAAGAAACAAAUUCAGGAAACUUUAUCAGCAACAAAUUAAUGUGUUAAGAGAUUUUAUUGCAUAGCUGCCACAUAUUUUAUUAUCCUUGAUUGGGGAUUUGAUUCGUAUUGACUGUGCGAGACCCUGUCUUCUUGACAGUUUGGGGAGGGAGCAUGUCUAUUCUGUUUUCUUUUCUUCUUUAUGUCUAGAAUGGUCUCCAUUAGCGAUGUUCACUAAAAUUAUGGCUUCCCUACUUCCAGGUGCACAGUAGGAGUAAAGUAUUCUGAUUCUUCUGCAUUUAGAUGCAACCCUAUUGUUUGCUUUGAUAAAUUGAGAAUUAUCAGUAAUAUGUGCUAUUUAGAGGCAAAAGCUUUAAGAUCCAAUGUGCAAUUCGCCAAUUCACCUUCCCCAUGCCACAGCCUCCAGUGACCCCCCAGAUGGAGUUUCCUUCAGCCUGCCACUCUUUGCAAAGAUAAUGUGGAGUGGAGACCUCUCCAACCCACAGUGAACAUUUAACAUGAAUGUGAAAUAAUCUUUUGUUACUAUAAGUCCCAGAGAUUUUUUAUGGCAGCAUAACUGAGCCUUUCCUGACUAAUAUGCCUAGGAAGGAAGCUCACAUUUCUUUUUCUUCCUUCCUUUUUUUCUUUUUUCCUUCCUCCCUCCCUCCCUCGUUCCCUCCUUCUCUCUCUUUCCUUCUUUCUUUUUCUUUCUUCCUUUUUUUUGUGGACAAUGUGGAAAUUCUUCUCCUAGAGUGUAAGACUUCCACAUCUAAUUAAAUAAUCAGAUAAUGCAAUUAUUCAGUUAGAAGCCUGUAUCUCGUUUUCUUACUCAAUUCAUACAUCUCCUAUGGGUCAAAACAUCAUUUAGAAAACUCUGAAAUGGAAAACAACAACUGAAUUUUAGAAGCACUGAAAAAGAAUCUCAGAGUCAUUGCUAGAUCUCCACAGGAAUUUCUUGGGGGCUUGCUGCCUGCUUGCAUAUUCACAAUGAAGGGUGUGCCAUAGGCUGUGAUCCAAAGAGCUUUUGUCAGCGAUUAUAUGAGGGGACAGAUAAACAUGUCUUCCUUCAGUGUUUAAUUUCCUUCGGUCCAUAAUUUCAGGAUGGUGAAGGGGAAAAAUAUUUGGCUAAUCAACUUGUAUUUAAGGAACAUGACCUAUGGCAAGUUAUUUAACUUUUCUAGACCUUACUUUCACCAUCUGGAAAAUAAGAGUAGGAGAUCAGACAAUCUUCAGGAUGCCAUCCAGUUCUAAUCAGCUGGAAUUCUGAGAUAUUUGGGUGAUUAUCAGUUUCAGGAGUCCAUGCUAAGUAUAGAAUCUUCUUGUGUUUCUAUCCUCAGCAUUAUUUUGUGAAACAUUUUAAAUUUUUCAUGCUGAGCCCAACUUAAAACAACUGCUUCUUGGGCAAGAUAGAUAGUGCUUCUUCUCUUCCACCUCAAAUUUUUUUAAUGUUGGAAUCUGCUAGAAGAGUGGGCCAUAUAGAUUUGGGGCCAUGUAAAAUGGUUUGUCACUUUCUAGUCAAGAGGGAAAUUUUUCUUUUUCUUUUUCUUCUUCUUUCUUUUUUUUCUUUAUCUUUUUCUUUCUUUCCUUUUGAGAGGUAUUUUCUUCAGGUUUCAUUAUCAGACUACCUAAGGAAAUUUCUUGUGAAUUUUCAGGAAACUUUUGAGACAAAAUAUUGAUUGUGUGACAAAUGCUGUGGAGUGAAAUCAUUGCUAAUUAUUCUUUAUUCUUAAUGUGGUAUGACUGAUUGCCAGAAACAAUACUAUUACCUUCAUUUGGAUAAUAAUUUAUGGUUGACAAAGAGUUAUUGCCUUGAUUCCGCUCAAUGAACCAUGCCAACUGACAUUUCUCCCCUAUUUCACAGAGGAGCUGAGGUUUUGAUUUGCCCGUGGCGUGUGGCUAGCAAGCAGUGGGGCUUGACUGUAACCCAGGAGCCACACUGCCUAUGAAAUUAAGAAAGCUGUCUGCUACCUUACUUACUUCUGUCAACCAAUUCCUGGUUUCUCUCUUCUCUGGCCCUCUCUUUGAAGUUAGUGUGGUCAUCUGACUUCGUUGAGCCAGAGCAUUUACUUAAAGGAACAAAGAGGAAAGAGUGACUAGAAGACUCUAGUGCAGAGUUGGUCUCUGGAGAACUGCUGUAUGUCUUACUCCUGGGCCAUUGCUAGACUGCAUUUCUCAACAUCCCUACCAGCUGCUUUGGCUAUAUGACUGAGUUCUGGCGAACGAAAAGUAGGUGGGAUUGAUGGAAGCCAUUUUCAGAUAUAGUUCAUAAAAACCUCCCACACAGUCUUGCACUCCUCUUCCUCCCCCUCUGCGGACUAAUCAGAAAAUCCAAGGUGAUAUUCCAAUGCUAGGGCAGGCUUAGCAAAGGUUUUCUGUCAAGAUCCUGAUAGGCAAUAUUUUAUAAUUCAUGAGCCUGUUGCAACUACCUUAGUGUGAGAGCAGCUACAAAGCACAGGUGAUACAUGAUGAAUCGGUGUGGCUGUGUCUCAAUAAAACUUUAUUUACAAAGAAAAAAUUUAUAAAAACUCUAGAUCAAAUUUGGUCCAUGAGUCAUAGAUUGCUGACCCUGCUCUAGGAUAUGUCAGAAUCACAACGUAGAAGGAUUCUGGCCCCUAAAUGACUGCAUGGGGAAAUAAACUUUAUACAAGCAAGAAAUAAACUUCUCUUAUGUUAAGUCAUUGA